rnacentral:lncRNA from 1 species
UUAAAGCUCCGAUCGCGGCCGAAACAAAUGGCCACGCAUCAUCCACGCAGUGCAGUGGACCGGAGCAUAAAACGUGGAGCUACAAAGGCUCUCCCUGCAACUUACCACUACACUACUGGAAGAAGGAAUUCCAUCCUUCCUUGGAAUAACAAACAAGUCACUUUCUUUGGACACCGACCGCUUCGUGAUCGCUCCUACUAGACCACAAGUACGACGACGCAUCAUCAUUUUGUCCGGGAUUUUCCACACUUUCCCACACGCGUCCGUCCGCCUUGCUUGCUCCCAUCACAUGAACGGCAUAAUUGCUGAAAUCACGCGCCCUACCCCC